GUGCUCACUUCGGCAGCACAUAUAGUAAAAUCAGAAGAAUACAGAGAAGAUUAGCAUGGCCCUGUGCAAGGAUGACACACAAACUCAUGAAGAGUUCUCUAUUUUU